AAGUUUGUAUGUAAGUAUACAGUCCAAAUCUGUUAUAACAACAUUGAAGGUACAACGAUAAUUAGGUCGCGACAGCCGCUUGUUGUAAUUACCAGUGGUUUUUACGCUACAAAUAGCCGGGA